UGAACCAUAUUCACAAAGAAAUGGCUCAAAGGGGAAAUGUGUAAAUGUCUUUUACUAGUUAGUAAUUGUAUGUGUCCCAGCUUUAUAACUGCAGUCAUCUGAAAUACCCGGAGAACAAACCUAAUUCUUUCGAUGAGAUCACUUAAAAAACACAAUGGUUUUUUGAGCCAACACCUCUGGGCAUGGUGGCUCA